AAUUUUAGACAAUGGGGGAAACCCUGAUCCAGCCAUCCCGCGUGUAUGAUGAAGGCCUUCGGGUUGUAAAGUACUUUUGGCAGAGAAGAAAAGGUAUCUCUUAAUACGAGAUACUGCUGACGGUAUCUGCAGAAUAAGCACCCGCGAACUACAUGCCAGCAGCCGCGGUAAUACGUAGGGUGCAAUCGUUAAUCGGAAUUACUGGGCGUAAAGCGUGUGUAGGGGGUUCGGAAAGAAAAAUGUGAAAACCCAGGGCUCAACCUUGGAACUGCAUUUUUAACUGCCGAGCUAGAGUAUGUCAGAGGGGGGUAGAAUUCCACGUGUAGCAGUGAAAUGCGUAAAUAUGCGGAGGAAUACCGAUGGCGAAGGCAGCCCCCUGGGAUAAUACUGACGCUCAGGCGCGAAAGCGUGGGGAGCAAACA
rnacentral:rRNA from 1 species